CGGGUGAGGAAUACAUGGGUAACCUACCCUUGAGGAAGGGAAUAACCCGACCGAAAGGUGAGCUAAUACCCUAUACGCUAUUCUUUUUUACGAAAAGGAUAAGGAAAGCCGGGUCGAGGACCUGGUACUCAAGGGAGGGGCUCAUGUCCUAUCAGCUUGUUGGUGGGGUAACGGCCUACCAAGGCUACGACGGGUAGCUGGUCUGAGAGGAUGAUCAGCCACACUGGCACUGAGAUACGGGCCAGACUCCUACGGGAGGCAGCAGUGGGGAAUAUUGGACAAUGGGCGAAAGCCUGAUCCAGCCACGCCGCGUGGGUGAUGAAGACCUUCGGGUUGUAAAGCCCUGUCGGGAGGGACGAAUCAAUGACGGUACCUCCCAAGAAAGCACCGGCUAACUCCGUG
rnacentral:rRNA from 1 species